UUUGAAUAUUUCUGCUCGAGGCUUCGAAGUUUAGGGAGUGCACGAUAGAAGUUACUGCAACCAUACUUCGCUUUUAUGAAACUUAUUCGAAAUAAAAUCGAUAUAGCAUGCAAAGAGAAAGGUCAGUAUUAAAUUUAGCUAUUUUUAAAACGUUUUUGAGUUGUUCUUGUUAAGUUCUAUAUAUAGCUAGUUGCUUUUCGAAGCUCGUUUGUAGUAUAUGCUGUAUAUUCAUUGUAUUAAUAUGUAUUGAACUGAUUCAAGCGCUUCGUUUCGGCGCUUAGUCGCUUUGUUUCUUUGCUGUUUCUCUCUCAUUUUCUAGCAGUUGUGUUCAGAAAUACCCCAGUUUUGAUUUAUUUAACUCAUAUUUUAAUAGUUUAUCUGCAAUUUCAGGGCGAAGAUUUGACGAGAAAGUGAACUAAUUUAAGUCGCCAUCAUGGUCGAAAAGGCGAAGUACUUGGUAAGCAUAUAAUGUCCACUACGGGCGCUUCCGUCUUAUUUUUUAUUUAACCUUCCCUUAUACACCUAGAACGUCUUCUGGUAAAGCUUUGUAACUUUAUGAACAUUCUUUGUCAAAUUUAGUUAAAAUUUUGUCCGUACAGAGCGAAAUGCCGACUCAUUUUAGGCAUGUUCAAUUCGACAUGCAUUUCAAACAUUUUAGCUUCUACAAACUUAUCGUUUAUGUACAAAUUGACAAUUGUACUCCAGAGAGAAGGCUAUAGGUUUUUUUGAGUUUUUUUGAGAUAUUCUUAGUUGAAUUUAAUCCGAAUCUUUUGAAGAAGCUCAGAUAUGAAAUGCCCUCGUGGUUCAUGCCCUAAUUUUAUACAUACAUACAUGCACGAAUUCUUUAAAAUUAAACUAAAUUGUAUUGGACAACCACGCCCUGCGUAAACGACAUUAAACAACUCUUCACUGUUAAAACUAUAAUUAAUUAUCCAACUUUUUUAGAUUGCCUCAAGUUCGAUUAUCUUGACGCAAACAGUACAGAAAGACCUCUGCGCAGAUUUGAAGAGACGUUCGCCUAGCAGUCGAAGCAAAACGAGAAGACGGGGAAGGCAAAGGCUGAAUGAAGACUAUCAUCAGCUAACCCACAGCAUUCAUCGUCGCAUUUCGUUUGCCCCAAGUUUGGAAGAGACAGUAAAACUUAAUAAGAUACACUCAUCAUCAGAUUUCGCUCAGUCAGCCUAUUGUGAAUGCGUGCAGCCAAGACAUGUGUCAAGCCAGGACGCGACGCCGCGGUACCAUCGUUUCCAAGACUGGCAUGAGGAAUUGCCUAUACCUAAACCCUGAGCCUAUGAAAUAGGCGUGAAAGAUGCUCGAGCUCUGAUGCUGUACAUUACAGAAGGUAUAUUUUCCUCGUAAUUCUCGUUGGUCGUGUUCGAAAGUACGUGGGGACCACCCUGAGGACGCCCAAAUGCACAAAACAAAUUUAAAUAUGGCACAUUUUCCUUAAUUUCGCAAUUUAUUCAAAUUUUUCACAUUUCUCCGUAUUUGUGAAAAGCUGUUUGAAAUUCGGAAGGUUCUGUCUGGGAGUUUGUUUAUUUGAAAGAUAUUUGAAAUGAAAUUUUGAAAUUUACAUCACUUUGGUAUUCGGUUUAAAUGCUAGGUAAAAUCAUGCCAGAUGAUUGGCCGGCCAUUCGUCGAGGUUCGGUGGUACUUCGGCUCGGACUUCCUCGACCUACAGUCGAGUUGUUCUGAUCGAUUGUCGUGAUCAACUAGCACAGGUGCAAGGUCUGGCCAACCUUACAUCGGUGCUUUUUGUUCGUGGCAUGAGAUUGGGGUAGCUCGCUUGUAGGCCUGGAAAGAUCAAGCCAAAGUACCGCCAAACUUUGAUUUGUGGCCGGCUUUUUGUCUGUAUGGCUUUACCCAGCGUUUUCCCGUUAUCAUUUUGAUGCAGACUUUGGAAUUUUGGCUUGGAUAUCUUUUAUGUAAACGUUCUUUGAGGUUUAAUCUUUCAAGAAUUUCAUGGUUUUUGACUAGUUAAUGUGUUUCUCGCAGAUAUAUAAUUGUAUUAAAAAAAAUUUAACCAAAAAAAUUUAAAACUGACCAAAACGUCAUUUGAGGUGUCGGAUGGGAGGUCCCGUGGGAGUCGUAGCGGAUAUCAAUGGAUAAAUACGGAUUACUGUUUACUAUUGGAGAUCGAUACUGUGAACAUUAAUGGAUUAUUAUGAACAUUGGUGGAUUACAACGAACACUUCAGGAUUAUUGUGAACAUUUGUGGAUAAAAUGUACCUCGCGAUCGACGGUUAACCUACCGAUGUACCUUGAUAACGAAAGCUGCACGACGGCAACGAGACGACUGCCUCAAGGUUAGAGUAUUAGUCUGAUAACAAGCAGUAGUUAGCUUGCUAUCAGGCAGUAGUUAAGGGUUAGCCUGCUAUCAGGCAGUAGUUACCCAGGACUCUAAUUUGCAUGUGUUCGGUGACGUCUCUGGGAUAAACCGGUUUAAAAAACCUGGCGGUCUGUCGUUAGUUGUACAUUUGCACACAAGGUUGACUUUUAUUCAGAUGUUUGCAUGCUAAUAAAAAAUGAGGUACAAUUUUCACCUCAGUUAAUCAGAAUUUCGACAUAAUCUGCAAUCGAAAGUCAAUCUUAAGAGGUCAACAUUUGAGCUUCCGGUCACGUGGUUCGUUGCAUGCACUCGCUUCGGUUAUUGGUGGGUUUCAGUAAGUGUUGCAAUUCAGACGAUGGUCAAUAUCAGAAAUUUUGACACCUGCUGGACCAAUUUAUUUUGCUUCAAAUACAAGACUACUACAUAAAGUAAAAAAGAGUGAACAUUAUUUUUUCACUGUAGAAACUCGUACUGAGACCCACUAGCUAUUUGCGGUCUGUUCGUGCCAAUGUUCUCUUUGUGUAAAUGUACUGCUUAGGUGUCUCCGUGUCUGUGCAUGGAUAAACGCAGCGCGCAACUAGUAUCCAGAAUAUAGGCAGACAAGUAAAACUUUGACAGACUUAAAAAUUUUGUUUAUAUCAAUAUGUUAUGUUCAUAAAUGUAUAGAAAUAUCAUGAAAUGUGUUAGGCUUUGGCUUGGGGUUAAAUCUAACCCUAUAACCUUAACCUUAAUCCAUUGCAUGAUCUGUAUAUUUGUGUAUGUAAUAUAUGGGUGUAGCUAAAAUUUUGUUGAAAAGCUGGCAUAGUUUUCCUUGGGUAGGAUAACUAAACUGGGUGCAAAUGGUAUCCAUAGCUUAGAGGGUGCAAAUGGUACCCGUAAGAAGAUUGGUGGAUAUCGUUGGACAAGAUAAAAAGAUCAGCUUAGGACUGUAAUGACAUAAUUAUUGUAAUGAUAAAUAGUCCAGGCUUUAGUAAAGACAAUAAAUUGGCCGUGUAUUGCCU
rnacentral:lncRNA from 1 species